GACGAACGCUGGCGGCGUGCUUAACACAUGCAAGUCGAACGGUGAAGGUGGAGCUUGCUCCGCCGGAUCAGUGGCGAACGGGUGAGUAACACGUGGGCAACCUGCCCCUCACUUCGGGAUAACUCCGGGAAACCGGGGCUAAUACCGGAUACGACCUCCUUGGGCAUACUUGGAGGUGGAAAGGUUUUCGGUGAGGGAUGGGCCCGCGGCCUAUCAGCUUGUUGGUUGGGUAGUGGCUCACCAAGGCGACGACGGGUAGCCGGCCUGAGAGGGCGACCGGCCACACUGGGACUGAGACACGGCCCAGACUCCUACGGGAGGCAGCAGUGGGGAAUAUUGCGCAAUGGGCGAAAGCCUGACGCAGCAACGCCGCGUGCGGGAUGAAGGCCUUCGGGUUGUAAACCGCUUUCAGCAGGGAAGAAGCCGCAAGGUGACGGUACCUGCAGAAGAAGCACCGGCUAACUACGUGCCAGCCGCCGCCGUAA
rnacentral:rRNA from 1 species